rnacentral:rRNA from 1 species
UACGUAGGGCGCAAGCGUUGUCCGGAAUUAUUGGGCGUAAAGAGCUCGUAGGCGGUUUGUCGCGUCUGCUGUGAAAACCUAAGGCUCAACCUUGGGCUUGCAGUGGGUACGGGCAGACUAGAGUGCGGUAGGGGUGACUGGAAUUCCUGGUGUAGCGGUGGAAUGCGCAGAUAUCAGGAGGAACACCGAUGGCGAAGGCAGGUCACUGGGCCGCAACUGACGCUGAGGAGCGAAAGCAUGGGGAGCGAACAGGAUUAGAUACCCCCGUAGUCC